rnacentral:rRNA from 1 species
UACAGAGGUGGCAAGCGUUGUUCGGAAUUACUGGGCGUAAAGGGCGCGUAGGUGGCCUUCUUAGUCAGACGUGAAAUCCCCAGGCUUAACCUGGGAACUGCGUCUGAUACUGGAAGGCUCGAGUUCGGGAGAGGAAUGUGGAAUUCCAGGUGUAGCGGUGAAAUGCGUAGAUAUCUGGAGGAACACCGGUGGCGAAGGCGGCAUUCUGGACCGAAACUGACGCUGAGUGAGCGAAAGCCAGGGGAGCAAACGGG